AGGACGAACGCUGGCGGCGUGCUUAACACAUGCAAGUCGAGCGAGGCCCGUCCUUCGGGACGGUGCCCUAGCGGCGAACGGGUGAGUAACACGUGGGCAACCUGCCCCUAGCACUGGGAUAACUCCGGGAAACCGGGGCUAAUACCGGAUAUGACCUUUGAGGGCAUCCUCGAAGGUGUAAAGGAUUCUGGCUAGGGAUGGGCCCGCGGCCUAUCAGCUUGUUGGUGGGGUAACGCCUACCAAGGCGACGACGGGUAGCCGGCCUGAGAGGGCGACCGGCCACACUGGGACUGAGACACGGCCCAGACUCCUACGGGAGGCAGCAGUGGGGAAUAUUGCACAAUGGGCGCAAGCCUGAUGCAGCGACGCCGCGUGAGGGAUGACGGCCUUCGGUGUAACCUCUUUCAGCUCCGACGAAGCGAAAGUGACGGUAGGAGCGAGAAGAAGCACCGGCCAACUACGCGCCAGCAGCCGC
rnacentral:rRNA from 1 species